rnacentral:rRNA from 1 species
UAAUACAGAGGGUGCGAGCGUUAAUCGGAAUUACUGGGCGUAAAGCGUGCGUAGACGGUUAUGUAAGUCGGAUGUGAAAGCCCCGGGCUCAACCUGGGAAUGGCAUUCGAGACUGCAUAGCUAGGAUGCGGAAGAGGGAAGCGGAAUUUCCGGUGUAGCGGUGAAAUGCGUAGAUAUCGGAAGGAACACCAGUGGCGAAAGCGGCUUCCUGGUCCAGCAUCGACGUUCAGGCACGAAAGCGUGGGGAGCAAACAGGAUUAGAUACCCUGGUAGUCCACGCCCUAAACGAUGUCAACUGGUUGUUGGGUCUUCACUGACUCAGUAACGAAGCUAACGCGUGAAGUUGACCGCCUGGGGAGUACGGUCGCAAGAUUAAAACUCAAAGAAUUACGG